rnacentral:rRNA from 1 species
UACGUAGGGUGCAAGCGUUAAUCGGAAUUACUGGGCGUAAAGCGUGCGCAGGCGGUUAUGCAAGACAGAGGUGAAAUCCCCGGGCUCAACCUGGGAACUGCCUUUGUGACUGCAUAGCUAGAGUACGGUAGAGGGGGGAUGGAAUUCCGCGUGUAGCAGUGAAAUGCGUAGAUAUGCGGAGGAACACCGAUGGCGAAGGCAAUCCCCCUGGACCUGUACUGACGCUCAUGCACGAAAGCGUGGGGGAGCAAACGGGG